GCCGACCUAGCUCAACGGUAGAGCGCAGCUUUCGUAAAGCUGAGGUUGUGGGUUCGAAUCCCAUGGUCGGCU
rnacentral:tRNA from 1 species